rnacentral:misc_RNA from 1 species
UCCGUGCUAACCACGGCAGUCUCUUUAGAGUGCCCAACUUAAUGCUGGCAACUAAAGACAAGGGUUGCGCUCGUUGCGGGACUUAACCCAACAUGUCACCACACGAGCUGACGACAGCCAUGCAGCACCUGUGUUACGGCUCCCUUUCGGGCACACCCCCAUCUCUGAGGGCUUCCGUACAUGUCAAGGGUAGGUAAGGUUCUUCGCGUUGCGUCGAAUUAAACCACAUGCUCCACCGCUUGUGCGGGCCCCCGUCAAUUCCUUUGAGUUUUAAUCUUGCGACCGUACUUCCCAGGCGGCUUGCUUAACGCGUUAGCUCCGCCACAAGAGGGGUCGAUUCCUCUUACAGCAAGCAAGCACCGUUUAGGGCUAGGACUAC